GGGAUGAAUCUCAGGAGAACAAAAUGUAUCUUUAGCAAUUCAUUUUGAAAUUCAUGUGAACUAAUUAAUGUACCUAUUAUCUUUUUUUAGUUGAAAAAACAACUCCCUGCUCUUUCUCUGAAAGGCCAGUUCAGACAGAACAUCCCUGGCCAGUCUUGGAGGAAUUCCCCUUUUGAAGGUGGUUUGUGCUUUCUAAGGAGAGACACUGAGCACAUGACCACUAAGAGCAUUACCCCAAGGCAACAUGUGUCUGCCCAUGUCACUCUGUGUUUUCCAGUGUCUUCAGAUGGUCACCACACAUUUUCAUCGAUUCCCUGUGUUCUCCUUAGGUACCUCAGAAGGGUUAAUAGCUAAGAGCAUAUUCCUAUUCUUACUGAAAGACAGGAUUCACCAUCUUUGGCAUAUGAAUCAAUUUUGAUCCACACUGAAGAAAACACCAAGGUUCAAAGACCACUGAAUCACAUCUAUGCCUUCCACCGCCCAUCAACACUAGGAAACUGCAAUGUUCUGUGUGAGGAAUGGCUGUUCUCAUGCGGCACACCAGCAGUGAACCUGAAAUUCCUCAGAGAAGAGUCAGCAGCUUCACGAAACCCAUGCGGGGGAUAUGGAAUGGGGUGGGGGUGGCGUUUCCUGAAGUCCUGAUGUCACAGGGUUAUAUUUUUAUGAGUCCUCCCACUGCUUGUCUAAGAACUUUAUUAUUCCCCCUGCUGAACAAGCCCAGAGAGCAACAGAGAGGUGUUGUUUGAUAUUGAAUGCAUUGACUCCAGGACCCUGCAGUGUGACCUUGGGCAAAUCACAUAAAGUCCGGAGACUCCCUUUCACCAUCUAUAAAAUAGGAAUAAUUCCCUCUGCUCCUCCCAACUUCACAGGGUUGUUUGAAGAGCAAGAUGUUGAGAUCACCAAUUUAAAAGCAUUCAGAAGUUAAAGUGAAUACAAUUGAGGCAUUAAUAUGAUCACGGUUGUCAUUCAGAUUAGUGUCAACACCAUUGGUUUUGUCGAUGGAUAGCUGUUGUGUGUUUCUUCCAGUUUCCCUCCAACUCUUGAUACAGAACACUCACUGUUCCCUCUGCCUGGAAUAUUCUGCCCUACAAUACCAUGGCUGGGGCCCAGGAUUUAGCUUAGUGGUUCCACUGCCUGCCUUACAAGUGCAAGGACCCAAGUUCAAUCCCCCGUACCAAAAAAACAAAAACAAAAACAAUACCAUGGCUGGGGCCC
rnacentral:lncRNA from 1 species